GACGAACGCUGGCGGCGUGCUUAACACAUGCAAGUCGAACGGAAAGGCCCUGCUUUUGUGGGGUGCUCGAGUGGCGAACGGGUGAGUAACACGUGAGUAACCUGCCCUUGACUUCGGGAUAACUUCAGGAAACUGGGGCUAAUACCGGAUAGGAGCUCCUGCUGCAUGGUGGGGGUUGGAAAGUUUCGGCGGUUGGGGAUGGACUCGCGGCUUAUCAGCUUGUUGGUGGGGUAGUGGCUUACCAAGGCUUUGACGGGUAGCCGGCCUGAGAGGGUGACCGGCCACAAUGGGACUGAGAUACGGCCCAGACUCCUACGGGAGGCAGCAGUGGGGAAUAUUGCACAAUGGGCGGAAGCCUGAUGCAGCAACGCCGCGUGCGGGAUGACGGCCUUCGGGUUGUAAACCGCUUUCGCCUGUGACGAAGCGUGAGUGACGGUAAUGGGUAAAGAAGCACCGGCUAACUACGUG
rnacentral:rRNA from 1 species